CGCGGGGUGGAGCAGUCCGGUAGCUCGUUGGGCUCAUAACCCAAAGGUCGCAGGUUCAAAUCCUGCUCCCGCAACCA
rnacentral:tRNA from 1 species